rnacentral:rRNA from 1 species
UACGGGGGUGGCAAGCGUUGUUCGGAAUUACUGGGCGUAAAGGGCUCGUAGGCGGCCAACUAAGUCGGAUGUGAAAUCCCCAGGCUUAACCUGGGAACUGCAUCCGAUACUGGAUGGCUUGAAUCCGGGAGAGGGAUGCAGAAUUCCAGGUGUAGCGGUGAAAUGCGUAGAUAUCUGGAGGAAUACCGGUGGCGAAGGCGGCAUCCUGGACCGGCAUUGACGCUGAGGAGCGAAAGCCAGGGGAGCAAACGGG